CAUUCAGAGGUUUUGCAUGGACAAGAGCACUGCUUGGUUUGAAGGCGGAUGAGAUUCAUUUAUGUGGAGAUCCAAGUGUUCUGAAUAUAGUAAGAAAGAUAUGUUCAGAAACUGGAGAUGAACUGCUUGAACACCAUUAUGACAGGUUCAAACCACUAGUGGUUGAAGCCAAAACCCUGUUGGGAGAUCUUCGAAAUGUACGCUCUGGGGAUUGUGUGGUUGCAUUUUCAAGAAGAGAGAUUUUUGAGGUAAAAUUGGCGAUUGAGAAACACACCAAGCAUCGUUGUUGUGUUAUUUAUGGUGCCUUACCGCCAGAGACACGUAGACAGCAG
rnacentral:misc_RNA from 1 species